rnacentral:lncRNA from 1 species
GUUGUGAAGAUAAUUUUCAAUGUAUCAUCCUUAUUAAAAAGUAAAAUAACAAAAUAACAAAAAUAACAAACGAACUUCGCGGGGAGUCUGUAUUCAAAGGGCAAAAUCAAAAGCUCAUAUACAUCAACUGAAUGUAUUACAACUGUCAUAUUUCUGACCUGGCAAUAGCAUUUCCUAAUUCACCAAAAGGAAGUUUAACCCUAGUUUUACAGCUAGUUAAACCUUUGACUUUUAUGAUAAUCACAUUGCAUUCAACCCUAGUUUGACAGCUAGUUAAACUUU